rnacentral:misc_RNA from 1 species
GAUGAAGAACGCAGCGAAAUGCGAUACGUAAUGUGAAUUGCAGAAUUCAGUGAAUCAUCGAGACUUUGAACGCACAUUGCGCCCCCUGGUAUUCCGGGGGGCAUGCCUGUCCGAGCGUCAUUGCUGCCCUCAAGCACGGCUUGUGUGUUGGGCUCCGUCCCCCCGGGGACGGGUCCGAAAGGCAGCGGCGGCACCGAGUCCGGUCCUCGAGCGUAUGGGGCUUUGUCACCCGCUCUGUAGGCCCGGCCGGCGCCAGCCGACAACCAAGCAUCCUUUUUUCAGGUUGACCUCGGAUCAGGUAGGGAUACCCGCUGAACUUAAGCAUAUCAAUAAGCGGAGGA